rnacentral:rRNA from 1 species
CGGAAGUUUUCGGAUGGAAGCAAUAAACCUUAGCGGCGGACGGGUGAGUAACGCGUGGGUAACCUGCCUCAUACAGGGGGAUAACAGUUAGAAAUGACUGCUAAAACCGCAUAAGCGCACAUUGUCGAGUGACAGAGUGUGAAAAACUCCGGUGGUAUGAGAUGGACCCGCGUCUGAUUAGCUAGUUGGUGAGGUAACGGCCCACCAAGGCGACGAUCAGUAGCCGGCCUGAGAGGGCGACCGGCCACAUUGGGACUGAGACACGGCCCAAACUCCUACGGGAGGCAGCAGUGGGGAAUAUUGCACAAUGGGGGAAACCCUGAUGCAGCGACGCCGCGUGAGUGAAGAAGUAUUUUGGUAUGUAAAGCUCUAUCAGCAGGGAAGAAGAAAGACGGUACCUGACUAAGAAGCCCCGGCUAACUACGUGCCAGCAGCCGCGGUAAUACGUAGGGGGCAAGCGUUAUCCGGAUUUACUGGGUGUAAAGGGAGCGUAGACGGCUGUGCAAGUCUGAAGUGAAAGCCCAGGGCUCAACCCUGGGACUGCUUUGGAAACUGUGGAGCUAGAGUGCUGGAGAGGUAAGUGGAAUUCCUAGUGUAGCGGUGAAAUGCGUAGAUAUUAGGAGGAACACCAGUGGCGAAGGCGGCUUACUGGACAGUAACUGACGUUGAGGCUCGAAAGCGUGGGGAGCAAACAGGAUUAGAUACCCUGGUAGUCCACGCGGUAAACGAUGAAUACUAGGUGUUGGAGAGCAAAGCUUUUCGGUGCCGUCGCAAACGCAAUAAGUAUUCCACCUGGGGAGUACGUUCGCAAGAAUGAAACUCAAAGGAAUUGACGGGGACCCGCACAAGCGGU